GGAUUUUGAUGCCUUUGAUCUGAGGAUGAGGCUUCCUGCUGUUGUUAGCAAAUUAAACAAGGCUAUCAAUCGUAAUGGUGGUGUGGCCUACGUACAUUGCACUGCGGGUCUUGGAAGAGCACCUACUGUUGCGUUGGCCUAUAUGUAUUGGGUUCUAGGAUAUAAACUAAGUGAGGCACAUAAAUUUCUUCAGAGCAGAAGAGCUUGUUGUCCAAAAUUGGAGGCUAUAAGGAGUGCUACUGCUGAUGUUCUUACAGGACUACCAAGUGGCCGUGUCAUACUAUCGUGGAAAGGUGGCAAAUACUCCUCAGUAGAAGUUUCUGGUCUUGAUAUUGGUUGGGGCCAGAGAAUUCCCUUAAAAUUUAAUCCGUCUGAAAGUGUAUGGCUUCUGGAGAGAGACUUGCCUGAAGGGCACUAUGAGUACAAGUACAUAGUAGAUGGUGAAUGGACCUGUAAUACUUCUGAGUUAAUGACAAGUCCCCAAGGGGAUGGUCAUGUCAACAACUACAUUCAUGUCUCAAGCUCUGAUUCUGAUAACGAGUCUAAAGCACUGCGAAAGCGUUUGAUAGCUGAAGAUGAUCUCACUUUGGUUGAACGGCAAAUGAUUCGAGAGUUCCUGGAGCAGUAAUUGUUGAGUUCUAACACUAAGAAAUCUACUUUAAGAAGCCGUAGGAAAGCCGUCCUAAACAGAGCCUAAGUCGAGCCCAUUGAAAAAGAAUAUAGCAAACCAAGGCAUAUGAAUGUAGAAGUCUGCAGAAGAUAUUCGCGUGGGGGGAUAAAUAACGGGUUGCAGUUUUUCCAAGUAGGGUUUUCAGUAAGGACAACUUCAAUAAGGUAUGGGUAGCAUUAUUUUGAUGAACUCACAAUAAGGAAAAAUUUAUUAUAUCAGCAUGUAUCAUAUGUUUUGUUUGCUUACAGUACAUUGAUUUUUGUUGGACGUCUUUGGUAUUGUCAAUAUUUACUGGAAAUGCCUUAAAUAUCAGUCAUGGGGCUCUCCUUUGUGCUGAUACGCAGAUGUUUUAAAAUUUUGGUGUUGUUAAAAACUCAAGUAAACAAUUAAUUCUAGUCACAUAUUAAAUUAAACAAAAAGUAUGUAACAGCCCAAAA